GGGGGCGCCUCAGACCCCACAAUGCCCUACCUCAAUCCUGCCGCUUAAACUCUCGUGUCCCUGACAGCCCAUGGGACAGAAGACAGCAGAAGUAUCUGGCAUGCAGAAGGACAUGCAUACCUGACAAGCUUCCUGAACCUCCUCCCUGCGGUUCUACCAGCUUCCUGACUGUCUGCUAUGGCUAAAAUGAAGUUAGCUUGUCUACCUGGAAAAGAAGGUCUGGAGACCAGAGGUGACAAAGACCCAGCCCUGCCUUCUUGGAGCUCACAGUCCGGGGAGAGAGACAUGACGGCAGAAGUGUCAGUAGGAGAGGAUGGAGGCUCUGAAAAGGCGGUCGUGCCUGUCCAGCUACAAAGCUGGUCUUUUCCCAACUCACACAAUCUUGGCAGGUAAAACCUUCUCAGUUUUAAGUUUGUCUCCUCUUAAUUCUUUUUACCGUCUCUUCCCCUACCCCAAGCACCUGCUGCUUUCUGUCUACGGAAUAUUCUUUCAGGUGCCCAAACAGAUGAGCGAAAGGUAAUCAGAUAGGGGCAGAAAAACUUACAAAACACAAGUUUGAACAGUUUGCUUUUUUUUCUCAUGGUUUGCAUGUGCAUGACUGUGACGAUCACGCGUGCUCACAACAUUGCUUUGUUUCCUGCUAUUACUUCUUCUUGAUUCCCAGGACAGAAGCCACUGUAUCAAAUGAUCCUGUGUCCUACCAAGGGCCACAUGGCUUCUUGGGGCUUGUUGUGGGAACAUCCGUCCUUGAGAGCCGUUGUUUUGGAAGAGGGAGGUGGGCUUUGGGGUCAAAUCCCAAUCUUGCCAUUUACUGACUGUGUGAUCUUAGAGAAGGUUCUUUAUCUCUCUGGGCCUCAAUUAACGCACAUAUAAAAUA